rnacentral:rRNA from 1 species
AUUGAACGCUGGCGGCAUGCUUUACACAUGCAAGUCGAACGGUAACAGGUUAAGCUGACGAGUGGCGAACGGGUGAGUAAUGCAUCGGAACGUGCCGAUCGUGGGGGAUAACGCAGCGAAAGCUGCGCUAAUACCGCAUACGAUCUGAGGAUGAAAGCGGGGGACCGUAAGGCCUCGCGCGAUCGGAGCGGCCGAUGUCAGAUUAGGUAGUUGGUGGGGUAAAGGCCCACCAAGCCGACGAUCUGUAGCUGGUCUGAGAGGACGACCAGCCACACUGGGACUGAGACACGGCCCAGACUCCUACGGGAGGCAGCAGUGGGGAAUUUUGGACAAUGGGCGCAAGCCUGAUCCAGCAAUGCCGCGUGCAGGAAGAAGGCCUUCGGGUUGUAAACUGCUUUUGUACGGAGCGAAAAGGCUCUCUCUAAUACAGGGGGCUCAUGACGGUACCGUAAGAAUAAGCACCGGCUAACUACGUGCCAGCCGCCGCAGUAA